UUUGAACGCACGCGAUGCUCCACGUCCUGUCCGCUUGUCCCUCGUCGACCGGUUCAUGGGCGUGGCCGCUCCGACGAGCGCGUAGGCCAAGAUGCCAAACCACGGCUGCUAUAUAAACACGCAAGGCGCGGCGCAUGCCCAUUGGCCAUUACAACCAAGCGUCGAGGCAUUCGCCAAUCUCCAUCACCAGGCACCACCCGACGCUCUCCCGCCGCCUCACCGUGCCGGCGUCAGGUAUGGCCUCCUCGCCGGCGCUACCGCUGGUGCUCCUGGCCCUGCUGCUGGCUCCCACCGGCCUCGCCGCGUCCGGCUCCGGCGGCGGCGGCGGAGGAGAGAAGCGCACGCGCAUCCGGGUGUACGUGCACGAGCGGUUCACCGGCCGCAACGCGACGGUGGGGUCCGUGGCGCCGUCCCUGCGCGGCGGCAACUCGACGUUCGGCGAGGUGGGCGUGGUCGACGACGUGCUGCGCGCCGGGCCCCGCGCGUCCUCCCAGGAGGUGGGGCGGUACCAGGGCCUGUUCGCCGGCGCGGACCUCGCGGACGACAGCGGCGGCGGCGGCGGCUACUUCUCGGCCAUCACGCUCGUGUUCGCCGCCGGCGAGCACCGCGGCAGCACGCUGUCCCUGCAGGGCCGGUACAGCUUCCCCGCCGACGGCGCCCUCGAGCGCGCCGUCGUGGGCGGCACCGGCGGCUUCAGGAUGGCGCGCGGGUUCUCGCUGCUCCAGGUCGCCAGCGCCCCGCCGGAGGCCGCCGUCUUCCAGCUUGACCUCGUCGUCUUCACGCCCCGCGGCCACCGAUACUAGCUUAUCUAAUAACACUGAGAGCACUGUGCAGAGCGUGCUACGUUUUGAUCUCUAUCGAUCACACAAUUUGCUGUUCGUGUGCGUUCCCUCGUCGCGACAUGAUAUGCAUGGUGUCCAGAUUUUACAAAUAAUUGAGAUUAUUAGGUGAGGUUCUUUGGCAUGAAUGCGAGUAUAUAGAUCCAUCACUAGUGACGGUGAGAAUGUGCCAUGAGUUGAGUAUGAAGUGUAAGUAACCUGAUCACUUGAAAACUUCCUACACUGUUCCUCGCUGACAAUAAAGCUUUCUCGUACUCGCUCUGAAACCAAUGUCAACGAAGAC
rnacentral:misc_RNA from 1 species